GGUUGCCACCAUGCGAGCACUCUCAGUUGCAUCUUAUGGACAGAAACCAGUUGGUCGCUGUCAUUCAUGCUUACAGCCAUCUUUGAGAUGAUGAAACCACUUGGAAUGCUUAAAUCUUUGACUAUUCCAACCCAUGCUGAAUGACUUUUAUGUGCAAUAUGCCGUGGAACUAAUAAUUAAACGGACAAGGAGUGUAUCACCCUUGCUUACGCGACAAUGCAUGGAUGGCUCCUGAAG